UACGGAGGGGGCUAGCGUUGUUCGGAAUUACUGGGCGUAAAGCGCGCGUAGGCGGCUUUGUAAGUUAGAGGUGAAAGCCCGGAGCUCAACUCCGGAACUGCCUUUAAGACUGCAUCGCUAGAAUUGUGGAGAGGUGAGUGGAAUUCCGAGUGUAGAGGUGAAAUUCGUAGAUAUUCGGAGGAACACCAGUGGCGAAGGCGACUCACUGGACACAUAUUGACGCUGAGGUGCGAAAGCGUGGGGAGCAAACAGG
rnacentral:rRNA from 1 species